rnacentral:rRNA from 1 species
CCUACGGGAGGCUGCAGUGAGGAAUAUUGGUCAAUGGGCGUAAGCCUGAACCAGCCAAGCCGCGUGAGGGAUGAAGGUUCUAUGGAUCGUAAACCUCUUUUAUAAGGGAAUAAAGUGCGGGACGUGUCCCGUUUUGUAUGUACCUUACGAAUAAGGAUCGCCUAACUCCGUGCCAGCAGCCGCGGUAAUACGGAGGAUCCGAGCGUUAUCCGGAUUUAUUGGGUUUAAAGGGUGCGUAGGCGGCCUUUUAAGGCAGCGGUGAAAGUCUGUGGCUCAACCAUAGAAUUGCCGUUGAAACUGGGAGGCUUGAGUAUGUUUGAGGCAGGUGGAAUGCGAGGUGUAGCGGUGAAAUGCGUAGAGAUCACGCGGAACCCCGGUUGCGAAGGCAGCCUG